CAGACUGAGCUGGAACCUGCAGCAAUCUUUCGACGGACUUUUGUAGUCUUGUUCACUUUUUAUGUUGGAGACUGAAAGGACUACCUUCCUGAAUAUUUAUCAGAAUGUUUUAAGGUAAAAAAAUUGAGAAUGGAUUUCCUUGGAGAGGAAGGAGAGAGAAUGGCACAUCUAAAGGAUGCAAUCUAUCAUCCUAAAC